GCGACAUUAGCUCAGUUGGUAGAGCGCAACCUUGCCAAGGUUGAGGUCACGAGUUCGAACCUCGUGUGUCGCUCCA
rnacentral:tRNA from 1 species